GUGCACCAGGCUCCUUUGCAUUAGGAGCCUUUCCCUUAGUGGGCGUGUAGCGCUGAACCACAUCCAGACACAUUCUUCUUCUCUCUGCAGGUCCUCACCCUCUCUCCCAGCAGUCAGGUUACUAGUGAGGACUCUGCAUUGCCUAAGGGAGUUUUUCCUGCCUCCCCGAAGUGACCCACGCUGGCGUGGUCACUUCUACGGCCUUCAAGCUCUCAAGCCUGGAUCUUCAGCCUUCCGGCCAUCUUCUACGUCCUAUCCUGGAAGGACAGAAAAAAAAAACACUGAUGCCUGGGGGGAGGAGGCAGAGGGUUAGACGACAUGGCAACAUGGUGUUCACAUAAAAAAUACCCCAGGCUGGUGCAUUUUUCAGAGAACAGAAGCCCUAUCCCAGGAUCUAAGUUCAUUUAUGGAGAUGGAUGGAAUCAAUCAUUUUACUUUUCUGGACUGAUGCACAGAGAAGACUUGAAAGAUUUGCAUUUGAAGAAAAUUACUUAAGUUUAAAGAAAAAAACAACAGUGAAAUUCAAAUCUGCUUGAUCAAUCAAUCAAUCUGUAUCAAUGGGAUGAGAAUAUCUGUUCCAAAUGUAUCUUGGCCCUAUCCCAAAAAUUGUAUGAAACCUAAUUUUUAAUCUGAUAAGAUUUGCACCAAUUUUCUGCAAUAGUCUGAAAGAUGGCCAGAAACCUACAUAUAUUUCCUUUUUCAAACUUAAGGGCACAUUUAUCAAGGGUCGAAUUUAUGUUCGAGUUUUUUUCAACUCCCAUGAACACAAAAUUUAUUAUAAAAAUCAAUUUUCUUUUUAAACUCAGGUGAAUAGGAUAGACUCGAAAACUUGAAUCUAAUUUAAAUCGAAUUCGAUUUGAAUUUUAAAAACUUGAUUCGAAUUUUUUCUCUGAAAACAUUUGAAUGUCAGGAAGGCUGCAAACAUCACCAAAUUGAUCCCUGGACCUCUCCCACUGACUUAUACAGCAAUUUGGCAGGUUUUAGGUGGUGAAUAGUCUAGUUUAAGAGUAUUAUACAUCUCAAAAUUCCAAUUCAAUUUUUUUUAAAAACUCAAAUAUAAUUCGAAUUUGACAGUUUUGGCAAAAAUUGUAAUUUGAAAUUCGGCCCUUCAUAAAUCUGCCCCUUAAAGUGCUUCUGAAGACCCAUCUUUAAAAAUAUGCCAGUCUUACAAUACCGAUAUCUCAUAAUGAACACAUAAUUGAACACUUCACCCUAAAAAACGAUUUACUUUUCAGUCAUUGCAAGUUCUUGCACACAAAGCCCUGUAAAAAUAAAUUUAUUCUCUGAAUCUUCUCUGUUCAUUUUUUGUCUCAUUUGCUUUGUUAUAAAACACUGUGUAGCUUGAUGGUGCUUUAUAAACAAUUGAUGAUGAGACGAUAGGCCCCAUAGCAACCAGUCACGGAGCGCUUGCAACCAUAGGAUUUUUGUGCAGAGUGUGCAAGGAGAGAAGCACAACACUGUGGGCAUAAGGUAGCUCUCUA